rnacentral:rRNA from 1 species
GGGUCAGUAGGUUGGUCGUGCCACCGGUACGUACUGGUCUCACUGAUUCCUCCUUCCUGAAGAACCGUAAUGCCAUUAAUUUGGUGUUGCGGGGAAACAGUACUUUUACUUUGAAAAAAUUAGAGUGUUUAAAGCAAGCUAACGCUUGAAUACAUUAGCAUGGAAUAAUGAAAUAGGACGAUCGAUCCUAUUUUGUUGGUUUCUAGGAUUGACGUA